AGAGUUUGAUCAUGGCUCAGGACGAACGCUGGCGGCGUGCUUAAUACAUGCAAGUCGAGCGAGGUUACUGUUUUGGAUCCCUUCGGGGUGAAGAAGCUUUAACCUAGCGGCGGACGGGUGAGUAACGCGUGGGUAACCUACCCCAAAGUCCGGGAUAACAGCGGGAAACCGCUGCUAAUACCGGAUGCCUUUACCUUGGGGCAUCUUGAGGUAAAGAAAGGCAACGCUUUGGGAUGGGCCCGCGUCCCAUUAGCUAGUUGGUGAGGUAACGGCUCACCAAGGCGACGAUGGGUAGCCGGCCUGAGAGGGUGGACGGCCACACUGGGACUGAGACACGGCCCAGACUCCUACGGGAGGCAGCAGUAGGGAAUAUUGCGCAAUGGACGGAAGUCUGACGCAGCGACGCCGCGUGAGCGAUGAAGGUCUUCGGAUCGUAAAGCUCUGUCCUUGGGGAAGAAGGCGAAAGCUUGACGGUACCCAAGAAGAAAGCCCCGGCUAACUACGUGCCAGCAGCCGCGGUAAUACGUAGGGGGCGAGCGUUGUCCGGAAUUACUGGGCGUAAAGGGUGCGUAGGCGGCCCUUUAAGUCGGAUGUGAAAGCCCGCGGCUUAACCGCGGAAUGGCAUUCGAAACUGGAGGGCUUGAGUGUCGGAGAGGGUAGUGGAAUUCCCAGUGUAGCGGUGAAAUGCGUAGAUAUUGGGAGGAACACCAGUGGCGAAGGCGACUACCUGGACGAUAACUGACGCUGAGGCACGAAAGCUAGGGGAGCAAACAGGAUUAGAUACCCAGGUAGUCCUAGCCGUAAACGAUGGGUACUAGGUGUGGGUGGUUUCGAUACCAUCCGUGCCGUAGUUAACGCAUUAAGUACCCCGCCUGGGGAGUACGUGCGCAAGCAUGAAACUCAAAUGAAUUGACGG
rnacentral:rRNA from 1 species